UUUAUGGAGAGUUUGAUCCUGGCUCAGGAUGAACGCUGGCGGCGUGCCUAAUACAUGCAAGUCGAGCGAACAGAUAAGGAGCUUGCUCCUUUGACGUUAGCGGCGGACGGGUGAGUAACACGUGGGUAACCUACCUAUAAGACUGGAAUAACUCCGGGAAACCGGGGCUAAUGCCGGAUAACAUGUUGAACCGCAUGGUUCUACAGUGAAAGACGGUCUUGCUGUCACUUAUAGAUGGACCCGCGCCGUAUUAGCUAGUUGGUGGGGUAACGGCCUACCAAGGCGACGAUACGUAGCCGACCUGAGAGGGUGAUCGGCCACACUGGAACUGAGACACGGUCCAGACUCCUACGGGAGGCAGCAGUAGGGAAUCUUCCGCAAUGGGCGAAAGCCUGACGGAGCAACGCCGCGUGAGUGAUGAAGGUCUUCGGAUCGUAAAGCUCUGUUGUUAGGGAAGAACAAAUGUGUAAGUAACUGUGCACAUCUUGACGGUACCUAACCAGAAAGCCACGGCUAACUACGUGCCAGCAGCCGCGGUAAUACGUAGGUGGCAAGCGUUAUCCGGAAUUAUUGGGCGUAAAGCGCGCGUAGGCGGUUUUUUAAGUCUGAUGUGAAAGCCCACGGCUCAACCGUGGAGGGUCAUUGGAAACUGGAAAACUUGAGUGCAGAAGAGG
rnacentral:rRNA from 1 species